rnacentral:rRNA from 1 species
UAGUGGCGAACGGGUGAGUAACACGUGGGCAAUCUGCCCUUCACUCUGGGACAAGCCCUGGAAACGGGGUCUAAUACCGGAUAAUACCUGCCUGGGCAUCUGGGUGGGUUGAAAGCUCCGGCGGUGAAGGAUGAGCCCGCGGCCUAUCAGCUUGUUGGUGAGGUAGUGGCUCACCAAGGCGACGACGGGUAGCCGGCCUGAGAGGGCGACCGGCCACACUGGGACUGAGACACGGCCCAGACUCCUACGGGAGGCAGCAGUGGGGAAUAUUGCACAAUGGGCGAAAGCCUGAUGCAGCGACGCCGCGUGAGGGAUGACGGCCUUCGGGUUGUAAACCUCUUUCAGCAGGGAAGAAGCGAGAGUGACGGUACCUGCAGAAGAAGCGCCGGCUAACUACGUGCCAGCAGCCGCGGUAAUACGUAGGGCGCAAGCGUUGUCCGGAAUUAUUGGGCGUAAAGAGCUCGUAGGCGGCUUGUCACGUCGGGUGUGAAAGACCGGGGCUUAACCCCGGUUCUGCAUUCGAUACGGGNCUAGCUAGAGUGUGGUAGGGGAGAUCGGAAUUCCU